rnacentral:rRNA from 1 species
GACAGAGGCCUCAAGCGUUAGGCGGAAUCACUGGGCUUAAAGCGUGUGUAGGCGGAUCGUUAAGUGUCUUGUGAAAUCCCACGGCUCACCCGUGGAACUGCUGGGCAUACUGGCGAUCUUGGGCCAACUAGGGGCAGCCGGAACAAGCGGUGGAGCGGUGAAAUGCGUAGAUAUCGCUUGGAACGCCAAAGGUGAAAACAGGUUGCUGGGAAUGUGCCGACGCUGAGACACGAAAGCCAGGGGGAGCAAAACGGGG